rnacentral:rRNA from 1 species
UACAGAGGUGCCAAGCGUUUAGGCGGAAUCACUGGGCUUAAAGCGCGUGUAGGCGGGUCGUUAAGUGUCCGAGUGAAAUCCCACGGCUCAACCGUGGAACUGCCGGGCAUACUGGCGAUCUUGAGGCAUUCAGGGGCGAGCGGAACAAAUGGUGGAGCGGUGAAAUGCGUAGAUAUCAUUUGGAACGCCAAUGGUGAAAACAGCUCGCUGGGAAUGAUCUGACGCUGAGACGCGAAAGCCAGGGGAGCGAACGGG